CUGAAGGCCACAGUCCAGAGGGAAAGCAAUGAAUAGAGUGACUGGACCUUUGUUCCUGUGCUUCUGGCUGCAGCUGAACUGUGUGAGCAGAGGAGAGCAGGUGGAGCAACGCCCUUCUCACCUGAGUGUCCGGGAGGGAGACAGCGCCGUUAUCAUCUGCACCUACAUAGACCCUAACAGUUAUUACUUCUUCUGGUACAAGCAAGAGCCGGGAGCAGGUCUUCAGUUGCUUAUGAAGAUUUUCUCAAGUACAGAAAUAAAUGAAGGACAAGGAUUCACUGUCCUACUGAACAAGAAAGACAAACAACUCUCUCUGAACCUCACAGCUGCCCAUCCUGGGGACUCAGCCGCAUACUUCUGCGCAGUCAGUGCACAGUGCUCCCCAGGCACAUCCUGUCUGCACAUAAACCUGAGACCAGGGCUGGAGACAGAUGUGUUUUCCUCUGUUGAGACCAGGAGCUUCCUAUAUUUUAUGCUUCAGAGACAGAUAUUCUAA